AGUGAACGCUGGCGGUAGGCCUAACACAUGCAAGUCGAACGGCAGCACAGUAAGAGCUUGCUCUUACGGGUGGCGAGUGGCGGACGGGUGAGGAAUACAUCGGAAUCUACUUUUUCGUGGGGGAUAACGUAGGGAAACUUACGCUAAUACCGCAUACGACCUACGGGUGAAAGCAGGGGAUCUUCGGACCUUGCGCGACUGAAUGAGCCGAUGUCGGAUUAGCUAGUUGGCGGGGUAAAGGCCCACCAAGGCGACGAUCCGUAGCUGGUCUGAGAGGAUGAUCAGCCACACUGGAACUGAGACACGGUCCAGACUCCUACGGGAGGCAGCAGUGGGGAAUAUUGGACAAAGGGCGCAAGCCUGAUCCAGCCAUACCGCAUGGGUGAAGAAGGCCUUCGGGUUGUAAAGCCCUUUUGUUGGGAAAGAAAAGCAGCAGGUUAAUACCCCGCUGUUCUGACGGUACCCAAAGAAUAAGCACCGGCUAACUUCGUG
rnacentral:rRNA from 1 species